GACGAACGCUGGCGGCGUGCCUAAUACAUGCAAGUCGAGCGGACCCUUCGGGGUUAGCGGCGGACGGGUGAGUAACACGUAGGCAACCUGCCUGUAAGACUGGGAUAACUUCCGGAAACGGAUGCUAAUACCAGAUAAGCGGUUUUCUCGCAUGGGAGAGCCUGGAAAGACGGAGCAAUCUGUCACUUACAGAUGGGCCUGCGGCGCAUUAGCUAGUUGGUGGGGUAACGGCUCACCAAGGCGACGAUGCGUAGCCGACCUGAGAGGGUGAUCGGCCACACUGGGACUGAGACACGGCCCAGACUCCUACGGGAGGCAGCAGUAGGGAAUCUUCCGCAAUGGACGAAAGUCUGACGGAGCAACGCCGCGUGAGUGAGGAAGGCCUUCGGGUCGUAAAGCUCUGUUGCCAGGGAAGAACGUCGAGGAGAGUAACUGCUCUUCGAAUGACGGUACCUGAGAAGAAAGCCCCGGCUAACUACGUGCCAGCCGCCGCCGUAACAC
rnacentral:rRNA from 1 species